rnacentral:rRNA from 1 species
CCUACGGGUGGCAGCAGUGGGGAAUAUUGGACAAUGGGCGAAAGCCUGAUCCAGCCAUGCCGCGUGUGUGAAGUAGGCCUUCGGGUUGUAAAGCACUUUCAGUGGGGAAGAAAGCCUUGGGGCUAAUACCCUCGAGGAAGGACAUCACCCACAGAAGAAGCACCGGCUAACUCCGUGCCAGCAGCCGCGGUAAUACGGAGGGUGCGAGCGUUAAUCGGAAUUACUGGGCGUAAAGCGCGCGUAGGCGGUCUGAUAAGCCGGUUGUGAAAGCCCCGGGCUCAACCUGGGAACGGCAUCCGGAACUGUCAGGCUAGAGUGCAGGAGAGGAAGGUAGAAUUCCCGGUGUAGCGGUGAAAUGCGUAGAGAUCGGGAGGAAUACCAGUGGCGAAGGCGGCCUUCUGGACUGACACUGACGCUGAGGUGCGAAAGCGUGGGUAGCAAACAGGAUUAGAUACCCCUGUAGUC